ACAUUCACAGUAUUGUUUGGGCAGUAUCAGUAUAUUGGAGACCCAUACUGCGUGGUAUUUAUUUUGUAGGAGAAGACACGAGAGCAGAAAGAAGUAGAUCUCAUUCCUAAAGUCCAGGAGGCUGUGAACUAUGGCUUACAAGUAUUGGACAGUGCCUUUGAGCAACUUGAUAUCAAAGCAGGAAACUCAGACUCCGAGGAAGAUGAUGCUAAUGGGCGGGUGGAACUGAUCCUUGAACCAAAGAGACGGGGUUUCAUCAUGGUGACCAGGCUGGUCUUGAACUCCUGACCUCAAGUGAUCCGCCCGCCUCGGCCUCCCAAAAGUGCUGGGAUUACAGGAUCUAUACAUUGAUCGUCCUUUACCAUAUCUCAUUGGGUCAAAGCUGUUCAUGGAACAAGAAGAUGUAGGUCUUGGAGAGCUGUCCAGUGAAGAAGGCUCUGUAGGCAGUGAUCGUGGCAGUAUUGUGGACACUGAGGAAGAGAAAGAAGAGGAGGAGUCAGAUGAAGAUUUUGCCCAUCACGGUGACAAUGAACAAAACCGGCACACCACACAAAUGAGUGAUGAGGAAGAGGAUGAUGAUGGCUGUGACCUUUUCGCUGACUCUGAGAAGGAGGAGGAAGAUAUUGAGGACAUUGAAGAAAAUACUAGACCUGUAAGGAAGGCUGUAGUUGCUAUCACUUGGCAGAGUUUUAGAACCAAUGACUUGUUUUUUUUUUUAUUGUGACUUACUUUGUACAACACUCAUUUUGGCAUAUUUGUCAUUUCAUUUACACUUUGGAAAAUAAUGGCAAGCAUCUCAAAUUGCCUCACAAGUACCACUUUCUUGUCCAGAUGUUAUGAUUUUAUGAGUCAGAUCAUUCAGAAUAUGUCUAGUUCCAGAGUUUGAAGACCAUAGUGCUCCUGUCUCUCCACCCAUGCACCUUUUUCUUAUUUUCGUAUUUAGAUUUUUAAGUAUUAAAGUCAAGUAUUAAAAAAAAUAAGGAAAUAAAGGGCAUCUCCCUUUGAAGGAACAUUUUAUGAGUCCUAUUCCUUGGGUGAGCUGUAUAGGGUACAUAUGUUUAAAUUCAUUUAAUUAAACUCUGUUUUCUCCUCAGUUCAAUUUCUUUGCUCUUGUAUACAUAAUGUUGUUAGGUGUCCAAAGUGAAGUGUACUAGUUUGUUACAAAAAAAGCGAUUCUUUUGAUUUCUCCUGCUGUAGAAAAGAAGCAGACCUACAUCGUUUGCAGAUGAGCUGGCUGCCCGCAUCAAGGGGGAUGCCGUGGGCCGAGUGGACGAGGAGCCGACAAGUGAGCCCCAGCUGCAUUGAUGGGGAGUAGGGGAGGGGUAGUGCAGAGCCCUCUGCUGGCUUCACCAAAGGCGGAUUUCUCUUUUUAUUAGUAAUUACUACAUAUAUUUAUUAGUAAUUGCUACAUACAAUUUAAAUUGUAGCGCUUAUUCCUUUUUUGGUUAAUGGGCUCCUUUAGAUAACUGAACACUGUGGACUCACAAGAAAAAUGUACAUGUACACAUGUAGAUAACACUUUACAUAUAAUUUCAGGAGAUUAAUGGAAACUCCAGAGAACCAUGGGCAACAGCUUAAGAAUUCCUGGCUGAAUAUUUACUCCUAUAUUUUGAACACAUAAGAAUGUGCUAUAUAGCAUAUUCUAGUUAUAACAGGGUAGAAAGAUAACACAAUAAUUCUUUCAACAAAUACAAUCCUGUUAUGCACAUGAGCCUGGGAUGAAAGCAGAAGCCUUCUGCCUUACAAAGAGACUCUUAAGUGCCCACUGUGGGCAGGGCAGGGGGUUCAGUGCUCUGGUGCAGCUGAGAUGAAAGGCAGAUGUCUUGCUCUUAGCUGUGAGUUAUGAGGAUGACAGACGUGGAAAGAACCAGGAUGUGUAUACUGAGGGAGGACUUAGUACUAUUAAAA
ensembl:lincRNA